rnacentral:rRNA from 1 species
UACGUAGGGGGCAAGCGUUAUCCGGAUUUACUGGGUGUAAAGGGGGCGCAGACGGCAGCGCAAGCCAGGAGUGAAAGCCCGGGGCCCAACCCCGGGACUGCUCUUGGAACUGCGCGGCUGGAGUGCAGGAGGGGCAGGCGGAAUUCCUGGUGUAGCGGUGAAAUGCGUAGAUAUCAGGAGGAACACCAGUGGCGAAGGCGGCUUUCUGGACGACAACUGACGCUGAGGCGCGAAAGUGUGGGGAGCAAACAGG